AUUUCACAAUGGCUCCUUUCCCCUCCCCCUAAAAUUAGCAGGAGAGGGUUUUCCUCAGAUAUUUACUGUGAGAACCUGGUCUGGAUCCUGGAGGUAAAUCUCACAAAAUUGUGGGAGCCCUUCUAUGACUGUGUCCCCUUGGAAUUUUUAACUCAUAGAGUUGUGCACACUGAGUAUCCAGCAAUUCAUUAAUUAUAGUUCUGGUUUUCCUAUUCUGGUGCUGAUUCCUGUAGCAGUUGUUGCUUGUCAGUCUCUCCUUGGAAGAAGAGGAAUUCAUUAUGCAUUCAUUAUACCUUCUUGACCUGCAAGUCCAUUCCCCUGGAUUCUCUGGAUUCAGAAGCCCUGUUUGCUGACAUUUUAGGCUUCAGUUGACACUUUUGGGUUCCUGACCUGCUCACAGCACUCAGCACAUAUCCUGUGCUCGCCCAUCUCCAAGCCUGCUCCCCCUGUGUAUGGUGUGGUGGCCUUCAACCUUUUCACCGGUUAACCGCUGCUCAUCCGACAAGACUCCGGGGAGGACGUUACGUGGGUGUGUUUUUCUCCAAACACGUUAAAUCUGCUUUCUUAGCAUUUCACAGUGCAUCUGCUCUGACGUCUCUCUCCUGCUGUGUUAUGGAGGUAA
rnacentral:lncRNA from 1 species